UCAUCUCGCGUUACGUGCAUGUGAGACUGGGAUACUCCGGGAAACCGGGGCUAAUACCGGAUGGUUGUUUGAACCGCAUGGUUCAAACAUAAAAGGUGGCUUCGGCUACCACUUACAGAUGGACCCGCGGCGCAUUAGCUAGUUGGUGAGGUAACGGCUCACCAAGGCGACGAUGCGUAGCCGACCUGAGAGGGUGAUCGGCCACACUGGGACUGAGACACGGCCCAGACUCCUACGGGAGGCAGCAGUAGGGAAUCUUCCGCAAUGGACGAAAGUCUGACGGAGCAACGCCGCGUGAGUGAUGAAGGUUUUCGGAUCGUAAAGCUCUGUUGUUAGGGAAGAACAAGUACCGUUCGAAUAGGGCGGUACCUUGACGGUACCUAACCAGAAAGCCACGGCUAACUACGUGCCAGCAGCCGCGGUAAUACGUAGGUGGCAAGCGUUGUCCGGAAUUAUUGGGCGUAAAGGGCUCGCAGGCGGUUUCUUAAGUCUGAUGUGAAAGCCCCCGGCUCAACCGGGGAGGGUCAUUGGAAACUGGGGAACUUGAGUGCAGAAGAGGAGAGUGGAAUUCCACGUGUAGCGGUGAAAUGCGUAGAGAUGUGGAGGAACACCAGUGGCGAAGGCGACUCUCUGGUCUGUAACUGACGCUGAGGAGCGAAAGCGUGGGGAGCGAACAGGAUUAGAUACCCUGGUAGUCCACGCCGUAAACGAUGAGUGCUAAGUGUUAGGGGGUUUCCGCCCCUUAGUGCUGCAGCUAACGCAUUAAGCACUCCGCCUGGGGAGUACGGUCGCAAGACUGAAACUCAAAGGAAUUGACGGGGGCCCGCACAAGCGGUGGAGCAUGUGGUUUAAUUCGAAGCAACGCGAAGAACCUUACCAGGUCUUGACAUCCUCUGACAAUCCUAGAGAUAGGACGUCCCCUUCGGGGGCAGAGUGACAGGUGGUGCAUGGUUGUCGUCAGCUCGUGUCGUGAGAUGUUGGGUUAAGUCCCGCAACGAGCGCAACCCUUGAUCUUAGUUGCCAGCAUUCAGUUGGGCACUCUAAGGUGACUGCCGGUGACAAACCGGAGGAAGGUGGGGAUGACGUCAAAUCAUCAUGCCCCUUAUGACCUGGGCUACACACGUGCUACAAUGGACAGAACAAAGGGCAGCGAAACCGCGAGGUUAAGCCAAUCCCACAAAUCUGUUCUCAGUUCGGAUCGCAGUCUGCAACUCGACUGCGUGAAGCUGGAAUCGCUAGUAAUCGCGGAUCAGCAUGCCGCGGGAAUACUGCCCGACUGU
rnacentral:rRNA from 1 species